rnacentral:rRNA from 1 species
UACCAUGCAGUCGAGCGCGAAAGUUUUCGGAUGAGUAGAGCGGCGAACGGGUGAGUAACGCGUGGGAAUCUGCCUGGUAAUGGGGGACAACAUCUCGAAAGGGAUGCUAAUACCGCAUACGCCCUAAGGGGGAAAGUGGGGGAUCUUCGGACCUCACGUUAUCAGAGGAGCCCGCGUCGGAUUAGCUAGUAGGUAGGGUAAAGGCCUACCUAGGCGACGAUCCGUAACUGGUCUGAGAGGAUGAUCAGUCACACUGGAACUGAGACACGGUCCAGACUCCUACGGGAGGCAGCAGUGGGGAAUAUUGGACAAUGGGGGCAACCCUGAUCCAGCCAUGCCGCGUGUGUGAAGAAGGCCUUCGGGUUGUAAAGCACUUUAAGUUGGGAGGAAGGCUUCACGGAUAAUACCUGUGAGGAUUGACGUUACCAACAGAAUAAGCACCGGCUAACUCCGUGCCAGCAGCCGCGGUAAUACGGAGGGUGCAAGCGUUAAUCGGAAUUACUGGGCGUAAAGCGCGCGUAGGCGGCCAUUUAAGCUAGAUGUGAAAGCCCAGGGCUUAACCUUGGAACUGCAUUUAGAACUGGAUGGCUAGAGUAUGGAAGAGGAGUGUGGAAUUUCAGGUGUAGCGGUGAAAUGCGUAGAGAUCUGAAGGAACAUCAGUGGCGAAGGCGACACUCUGGUCCAAUACUGACGCUGAGGUGCGAAAGCGUGGGGAUCAAACAGGAUUAGAUACCCUGGUAGUCCACGCCGUAAACGAUGUCGACUAGCCGUUGGCCUCCUUGAGGGGGUUAGUGGCGCAGCUAACGCGAUAAGUCGACCGCCUGGGGGAGUACGGCCGCCAAGGUUAAAACUCAAAUGAAUUGACGGGGGCCCGCACAAACCGUUGGAGCAUGUGGUUUAAUUUCGACCCAACGCGAAAAACCUUUACCUACUCUUGACAUCCAGAAAAACCCUUGCCAAAAAUUGUAGGGGGUGCCCUUC